AUACGUAGGGGGCGAGCGUUGUCCGGAAUGAUUGGGCGUAAAGGGCGUGUAGGCGGCCUGUUAAGUCUGAAGUGAAAGUCCUGUUUUCAAGGUGGGAAUUGCUUUGGAUACUGCCGCGCUUGAGUGCAGGAGAGGUUAUCGGAAUUCCCGGUGUAGCGGUGAAAUGCGUAGAGAUCGGGAGGAACACCAGUGGCGAAGGCGGGUAACUGGACUGCAACUGACGCUGAGGCGCGAAAGUGUGGGGAGCAAACAGGAUUAGAUACCCUGGUAGUCCACACUGUAAACGAUGAAUGCUAGGUGUAAGAGGUAUCGACCCCUUUUGUGCCGGAGUCAACACAAUAAGCAUUCCGUCUGGGGAGUACGGCCGCAAGGUUGAAACUCAAAUGAAUUGGCGGGG
rnacentral:rRNA from 1 species